ensembl:lncRNA
AUGAUGCUGAUCUUUGGACUGAUGCUGCUGCUGCAAACAUCUGCAUCUCCUAUUGGCUCAGUGGAAGUGUCAAUCAGCUGCUCCUCCAAUCAGAGGUCAGUGUCCUGCUCAUCUGACGGGGAUCACAUCAUCUACAGCUGGACUCUGAAUGGAGAAAUACUAGAACAAGGACCAAUGAAUGGAAACACCACCAUUCAGCUAAAUGAGGGAACUGAUGGAGACAUCAGCUGCAGCGUGAAGAACCACGUCAGUCACACACAGAAGACCAUUAGACUAGUCUGUCCUACAGUGUGUUCAGUGUCUGUGGUGUUUGUUCUGGUCUGGUGUCUCCAGCUGAUGGUUCUGUUCGGUCUGUUAGGAGGUUUUCACAUCUACAUGAGACACACGUCAGGUGAGAGACAUUUAUCAUCAUCAUUAUAGAUUUGACAUGCAAAUAUUAAGAGUGUGAUGAUGAUGAUGAUGAUGAUGUUUUUAGGAAAGAAACAGGAAGAGGAGAAAGUGAGAAUGAGAAGAUUUAGAGAGAGACAUGAACACACAGCAGAAGAUUCAUGAGAGCAGCAGCAGAUCUUCACAUCUGUGAGAAAUGAGUUCAGAAUCAGUCCAGCUUUCACCUGUCAACAACAGAUCUUAUAUAAAACCAAGAGAUUCAUUAAACCAGGAGAUAUGAAUUAACCAGAUUUUCUACAGUUUUAGUUAUGAAGAUUAUUUUCUGGACAGCUGUGUUUUGUAAUAGUUUUAUUGCUUAUUUUAUUCAUUUGUCUUUCCUCUUUGAAUGAACUAGCAGUAUUUUUAUGUCAUUAUAUGAAACUCCUUCUGUUCAUCUGUGAUCAAACUCUUUUAUUUCUCUGAAUCAGAUCUGUCAGAUCGUGAACUCAUUCUGUGUGUUUAUUUUCACAUUUCUGCUCUUGCUCUUUUACUUUAUUCUUGAUUUGGUUGAUUUCUCUUUAUUUUCAGUGUCUGUUUAGAUGUUUAAACUGUUUGAAGCUCUUCAUCCGUGUCUCAGUUUUGCAGCGUCUGGUGUUUCCUGACUGUGGUUUUGCUUGAAUUUGCAGUUUUUACAUGACUUUUAACAUGUUAACCACAUUUGUGCAUUUUUCUUCACAAGAUAUUUGUGUCAUUUUAGAAUAUUGAUAAGCCGUUCUUUAGAAAUUGUAAUAGGCUCAUUGCUGAAUUUGUUAUGCUUAACUUUUUUGAGGUAAAUGGAAAUAAAACACUUUGAAGUUAAAAAGUAUUUCA